rnacentral:rRNA from 1 species
GACGAACGCUGGCGGCGUGCCUAACACAUGCAAGUCGAACGGAGUGAUGAUUUCGGUUAUCACUUAGUGGCGAACGGGUGAGUAACGCGUGAGAAACCUGCCUUUCAGUGGGGGACAACAGUUGGAAACGACUGCUAAUACCGCAUAAUGUCAUUUGGGGGCAUCCCUGGAUGACCAAAGAUUUAUUGCUGAAAGAUGGUCUCGCGUCUGAUUAGCUGGUUGGCGGGGUAACGGCCCACCGAGGCGACGAUGCGUAGGGGUUCUGAGAGGAAGGUCCCCCACACUGGUACUGAGACACGGACCAG